rnacentral:rRNA from 1 species
AGACGCGCACCACAGAGGGGCGCCGACCACGGUGAGAUUCAUGACUGGGGUG